rnacentral:tmRNA from 1 species
GGGGCUGACCGGUUUUGACAGCGAGAUGAAAAGAUUUGUAAGCAUGCCGAGCUAUUCGAUUGAUGCUCGUAAAUACAACAUCGAAAUUUGUAAUUGGCGAGUCUAACUACGCUCUUGCCGCUUAAUCAUUCUUAUAGAGUGAUAGGCUAAUUUCACACUAGGUGUGGAAGCGAGACAUCUCUCAAUAUCCCUGUCUUGCGGAGAUUGAUCAAGAGGUGUAAUAAAGGCAAGAAUAGGAAUACUUCUUCUAUGUCGGUAUUCUGAAAUAUAAGUAGAUAAGCAUAUAGUGGGUUGUCUAACAUCAGCUAAGUGUCGAAAAUCAAUGUUGGAAUAAGCAUGUAGAAAACAUAUGUUUUCCUCGUCUGGACGCGGGUUCGAUUCCCGCCAGCUCCAC